UUCUCGUGACCUAGCAGAGCCCUUGGCUGUGGCUGUUUGGUGACAUCCUUGGGGCCUCCCCAAUAUUUUCAUGGGCCUCCCCCAGGCCCACUCUUUACAAAGAAGAGAAAUGGCUGCUCCACCCCCAGCAUCUUAGUACCAAGACUAAAGGGUGUGUGUGGAGGGGGGGUGGCCUUCUUUAAUAUUUAAUAUUGUGAAGGUCUUCUCUGUUUUCCGCCCAGCAGCCCUCCCUUCCGAACUUUGUGAAUCAGAAAAGACAAUCCGAUGAGGUGAGGGGCAGAUGCAUCAGUAUCCCUCCCUGCCGUUGGGUGAACCCCAAAAAGUUCUCUGCCAGUAAGCUGAGUCCUUUCGAGGAGAGCCAAGUUCUUCCAGCCCUUCUCUCUCCCUCCGCCUCCCACCCCCCACCCCCUGCGCCCCUGGGGUCUCAGUCCCUCGCACGCACGGAGGAGGCUGCACUGUGAUCGCUGGAAGGCAGAGUCUCCCACGCUCUGUGCCUUUUGGCUCUGUCCCUCCACCCCUUCCCCUCCCACCCCCGCGCUGGCCCCUCCUCCUCAGACCUGCGGGGAUCUUUCCAACCCGGACAGAAAGCCUGCGCGGUAGGAUUGCAGCGACCCCCGGUGGACACAGACAGGAGCGUCGCUAUUGUUGCUGCUGGGAUUUUCGGGUCACUUGUUUCUGCAGCGCGACUUAAUCUCAGCUGACUCCACGCACUGCAGGCCUCAUUUACGGAUUUUAGGGCAUUCAGUGUAGCUCUUCAGCCAUGGAGGGAUACCCCCGUUCCUCAGACCCCUCUAUUAAACUCCCCCGCUGCAGUGUCAUCUUCCCAUCUUUGACGGAAUAACAUUGCAGCUGAAUCUCUGAAACACAGAGGCGGGCCCAGACCUCCGAGCUCAUCAGGAUGCUACCUGCACCUGCAGCCUGGCUGCAGUCGGAGGCUCUCCAUGGGGGUGUGGGCUGUGGAAUAAGACCCACUGUUCUCGGGUGGCUGUCGAGUUCGAGAACGCUGAAUCCUAACUGCUUGAUGUACCUACGUCCCCAGAAAUUUGUCCACUUGGCAAAGAGACUGAGGGUAGGGAGGCAAAUAAAUAUUUAAAGAGAGAAGACAGGAUGGGGUGGAAAAAAAAUACAGGCACAGGCAGCGGGGGUGAGGAGGUGGAAAGGGAAAGAGAGACUGAGACACGGAGAUGAAGAGAGCAGCCCCCCGGAGGGCCUUUAAACCACGCCUGUGGGGCGGUCCUUCCGGCCUCCUCCGGCCAAUCGUCUUGCUCCGUCUGGCGGGGGGGGGGCUGACUCCAGGCCCUGCCCUCAGUCUGGACUUGAGCACCAGGGUCUCUGGGAAGUGGACAGGAUGUGCUGUGGUCUGCGCCCCUCCUUCCUCUGAUCCCCAGGAACCUCUCUGCGAGUGUGGGGUUCCUGAGGUGUCCUUGACCUUCAGAAUGAGAAAUGGAUGGUCCCUAUCUUUUAUCCAAGCAGGGUCAGCUUUUAGGUUGAAGUCACCUGUCCACAGGGAACAGAUGACAGCGGCUCAGCCUGGGACCCAUCUGUCUCCUGCUUCACCACAUUUGCCCCUCCUGCCAGCCUCGUGACCAUAAGCGACAGAACGGUUUCGUUGAAUUUUCUCACUGGGCCACGCUUCACUGCAAGGGAGGUGAGACAACAUGUUUUGACUCGGAGCAGACACCUGCCUUGAGAAAACAGAAGAAGUGGAGAACGGGUGUCAGGAAAAGCCCAGUCUGGUAUGUCCAACCUGCCUGAACGUGGUGAGUCAGGAAUAUGCUCCCUUCAAGGAACAGAAAUCCUGCCCCAACAGGGCUUCAGCAAACUAGGCUUUGCUUUUUAAGGACAACAAGGAGUGCUUGGUUGCUGGUGCAGUGUAGCCAUUUCAGAGAGGACCUUUGAGGGUUGGUUUCCAGUCUCAGAGUUGGUGCCUCAUGGACGGAAGAAGGCUGCUGAGGCUCCAUACAUCAUUUUCACAUUCAAGGCAGGAAGAAGGAUGAAGAGUACUGCCAGCCUGUAUGUCCCGCUUCAGCAGGAAAACAAAAGCUUUCCAUGGACACUCCUGGAAGGCCGCAUGUGGUACUCGUUGGUCAGGACUGGAUGUCUUGGCCUCUCUAUCUGCAAGGGAGUCUGCAAAACCAACCACUUAGCUUCCAGCUUCCCUAUUAGACAGUAGACCAAAAACAUCAAUACAGGAAUUCCUAUAUUGACAGUUAAUAUCACAGUCGUGCACAGAGACUUGUACCUGCUCAAACAUUGCAGGGUCACUUAUCACUGAAAAAUCACAAACAUCCUGCAUGUUCAACGUGCAUGUUUGGGUUCCAAUCAAUGGGUCAGUCAUUCAGUAAUAACCUGUGUUACUGCUUCUGGAAAAUAGAAGGAGUUUCCGUUGUGGGUCAGUGUGUUAAGUACCCGACACCAUGGUCCCUGAGGAUGCAGGUUCGAUCCCUGGCCUCGCUCAGUGGGUUAAGGAUCUGGUGUUGCCACAAGCUGCGGUGUAGGUUGCAGAUACCGCUCAGAUCCAGUGUAGCUGUGGCUGUGGUGCAGCCCGGCAGUUGCAGCUCUGAUUGGACCUCUAGCCUGGGAAGUUGCAUAGGCCACAGGUACGGCCCUAAAAAAGACAAUAGAAGAAAGUAUGAUUUACCUUGUCAUGAUUAUGUCAAGGUUAAGAUUAGGUCGUGUCUGGCCCUCAGCUGGUCCUUAGUCAAUUGUGAUGUAAUGUAUUCUGACCUCCAGACCUCCCACCACCUGCCCCAUCUUUUACCAACCAAAAAAAAAAAUAAAAAAUAAAAAA